GACGCUAGCGGGAGGCUUAACACAUGCAAGUCGAACGGUAACAGGUCCUUCGGGACGCUGACGAGUGGCGCACGGGUGAGUAACGCGUAUGCAACCUGCCCUGUACAGGGGGAUAGCCCGGAGAAAUCCGGAUUAAUACCCCAUAGUUUCCGUGAAUCGCAUGGUUUACGGAUUAAAGUUUCGGCGGUACAGGAUGGGCAUGCGUGGCAUUAGCUGGUUGGUAAGGUAACGGCUUACCAAGGCGACGAUGCCUAGGGGUUCUGAGAGGAUGAUCCCCCACACUGGGACUGAGACACGGCCCAGACUCCUACGGGAGGCAGCAGUGAGGAAUAUUGGUCAAUGGGCGAGAGCCUGAACCAGCCAUCCCGCGUGCAGGAUGACGGCCCUACGGGUUGUAAACUGCUUUUCUGCAAGAAGAAUGGUCACUACGUGUAGUGAUUUGACGGUAUUGCAGGAAUAAGCAUCGGCUAACUCCGUGCCAGCAGCCGCGGUAAUAC
rnacentral:rRNA from 1 species